rnacentral:rRNA from 1 species
UACGUAGGGGGCAAGCGUUGUCCGGAUUUAUUGGGCGUAAAGAGCGUGUAGGCGGUUAGGUAGGUCCGUUGUGAAAACUCGAGGCUCAACCUCGAGACGCCGAUGGAAACCAUCUGACUAGAGUCCGGAAGAGGAGAGUGGAAUUCCUGGUGUAGCGGUGAAAUGCGCAGAUAUCAGGAAGAACACCCGUGGCUAAGGCGGCUCUCUAGUACGUGACUGACGCUGAGACGCGAAAGCGUGGGGAGCGAACAGA